CCUACGGGGGGCAGCAGUGGGGGAUAUUGCACAAUGGGGGGAACCCUGAUGCAGCGACGCCGCGUGGGUGAAGAAGCACCUCGGCGCGUAAAGCCCUGUCAGCAGGGAAGAAAAUGACGGUACCUGAAGAAGAAGCCCCGGCUAACUACGUGCCAGCAGCCGCGGUAAUACGUAGGGGGCAAGCGUUAUCCGGAUUUACUGGGUGUAAAGGGGGCGCAGACGGGAAGACAAGUCAGAUGUGAAAUCCCGCGGCUCAACCGCGGAACUGCAUUUGAAACUGUUUUUCUUGAGUAUCGGAGAGGUAAUCGGAAUUCCUAGUGUAGCGGUGAAAUGCGUAGAUAUUAGGAAGAACACCAGUGGCGAAGGCGGAUUACUGGACGACAACUGACGGUGAGGCGCGAAAGCGUGGGGAGCAAACAGGAUUAGAUACCCGGGUAGUC
rnacentral:rRNA from 1 species